AGCGGUUUUAACAGCUGAGUUUCGAUUUCUCCUUAACCACCCGCUGGGUUCAGGGCCCACAGAGAACUUCCUCAUUCAUUCUCUAACUUUCUCACAGGUUAACUUCCGGGGCUGAGCCAGCUUUCAGCAAGGCUGAAGAACUGAGCUGGUUCACCCAGCUGCAGGAAUUGGACUUAGGUGAUCUGGCAUGGCAGAAAGCACCUUUGACAUGCCAGAAACCUGGGAUGAGGAGAGGCCCCAGAGGGACUCCCAGUGAAAGGAUAAGGACAGCGACCCACCCACAAAGCCUUCAGCCCCGCCCACAAGAUGUCUGAGACUAAGACAGAGCAGAGUCUGGGAGCAUGGCCAACCAAUGACUGCCAAACUGAGACCCAUCCCAUGGAAGUGCUACCUGAAACAACCCAAAAUUUCAUCCUCUCUCUUCUAAAAGUAGGGUGUUCUUCAAAGCCGUCUUGGAAAGCAGGCUGCUUUCUGGGGGUCACUUAACUGUGAUGCAUGGCCAGUCAAGACUCCUGCUUCAGGCAGCUUCCCUGAGCUUUACAGAAAAGCUCCUGACAGAGCUGAAGACUUCCGUCUUCGCUAUCUACUUGUAAAUAAUAAAUCUGUCUCACAUCAA